GUCACAUAGGAAAGCAUUCAUAAUGCUUUCCUAUGGACGCUUGCGUGCUCUCACUGUGAAAAUCACAGUGAGAAGCACGCAAGCGCCUCUAGUGGCUGUCAAUGAGACAGCCACUAGAGGAUUAGGGGGAAGGCUUAACCCAUUCAUAAACAUAGCAGUUUCUCUGAAACUGCUAUGUUUAUGAAAAAAUGGGUUAACCCUAGCUGGACCUGGCAC